AUUGAACGCUGGCGGCAGGCUUAACACAUGCAAGUCGAGCGGAGAUGAGGUGCUUGCACCUUAUCUUAGCGGCGGACGGGUGAGUAAUGCUUAGGAAUCUGCCUAUUAGUGGGGGACAACAUUCCGAAAGGAAUGCUAAUACCGCAUACGCCCUACGGGGGAAAGCAGGGGAUCUUCGGACCUUGCGCUAAUAGAUGAGCCUAAGUCGGAUUAGCUAGUUGGUGGGGUAAAGGCCUACCAAGGCGACGAUCUGUAGCGGGUCUGAGAGGAUGAUCCGCCACACUGGGACUGAGACACGGCUCAGACUCCUACGGGAGGCAGCAGUGGGGAAUAUUGGACAAUGGGCGGAAGCCUGAUCCAGCCAUGCCGCGUGUGUGAAGAAGGCCUUUUGGUUGUAAAGCACUUUAAGCGAGGAGGAGGCUACCUGGAUUAAUACUCUAGGAUAGUGGACGUUACUCGCAGAGUAAGCACCGGCUAACUCUGUGCCAGCCGCCGCCGUAAUAC
rnacentral:rRNA from 1 species